rnacentral:tRNA from 1 species
GCCUGAAUGAUCGAAUUGGUAUAGAUAGGAGUCUUAAACACUCCCGCCUUCGGGAUUGGUGGGUUCGAGUCCCCCUUCAGGCACCA